CUUUAACACAAUUCGUCAACAAAACAUUAGAUAAGUACGAGAGUUUGAAACAUGCAUAUCCAAAUGGCGUGUUGAACGAGUAUGUGAAAAACAUCGACACUGUUUCUGAAGGCGACCUAGCAGUAGCAGGGGCUUUGGAGCAAAUACAGCAACUUAUCAAUGAUACUGAAAUCCAGAUUGUAAUUCCAGUGAUCGACGUGUUGCUGUUAUUUAGACAUUACAACCAAGACGAUGAGGAGAAAGUUUCGAAUUACCUAAGAGAAACCUUUGACACUGCAUUACAACAAAGUACUUUGCACGAAGGCGCUUUACAUG